GUGCUUGCUUCGGCAGCACAUAUACUAAAAUUGGAAUGAUACAGAGAAGAUUAGCAUGGCCCCUGCACAAGAAUAACACACAAAUUUGUGAAGAGUUUCCUAUUUAA
ensembl:snRNA U6 U6 spliceosomal RNA